GAGAUACCCCUCUGGGGCAAGACUUGCUUCAAUGGGACUUUGGUGCUCACUGAGUCUGCCCCCUGGGUGUGUCCUU
rfam:Myotis davidii contig44348, whole genome shotgun sequence.